rnacentral:rRNA from 1 species
AGGGUUUGAUCCUGGCUCAGAACGUACGCUGGCGGCACGCCUUAUACAUGCAAGUCGAACGAAGUAGCAAUACUUAGUGGCAGACGGGUGAGUAACAUGUGGGUAUCUACCCUUUGGUGAGGAAUAACACGAGGAAACUUGUGCUAAUACCUCAUGAGUCUUUACGGAGAAAGCUUUAUGCGCCAAUGGAUGAGCCCGCACUUGAUUAGUUUGUUGGUGGGGUAAUGGCCUACCAAGACGGUGAUCAAUAGCUGAUCUGAGAGGAUGAUCAGCCACAUUGGAACUGAGACACGGUCCAAACUCCUACGGGAGGCAGCAGUAGGGAAUCUUGCACAAUGGAGGAAACUCUGAUGCAGCGAUGCCGCGUGAGUGAAGAAGGCCUUUGGGUUGUAAAGCUCUUUCGUCGGGGAAGAAAAUGACUGUACCCGAAUAAGAAGGUCCGGCUAACUUCGUGCCAGCAGCCGCGGUAAUACGAAGGGACCUAGCGUAGUUCGGAAUUACUGGGCUUAAAGAGUUCGUAGGUUGUUAAAAAAGUUGGUGGUGAAAUCCCAGAGCUUAACUCUGGAACUGCCAUCAAAACUUUUUAGCUAGAGUAUGAUAGAGGAAAGCAGAAUUUCUAGUGUAGAGGUGAAAUUCGUAGAUAUUAGAAAGAAUACCGAUUGCGAAGGCAGCUUUCUGG